UACGACUACGUAUAGAAAAUAUGAAAAUUUAGUAAUAGUAGAACUCUUUAUGGUAGAGCUCAUACGAGAAAGUAUUACGACAAGAAGCUGGAUUUCGGUCUGAUGGGUAUUAAUUGUCGUGAUAUCAAGGCAUGUGAGGCUCAUCUUAUGAAAAUUUAGUACUUAUGAAAAUUUAGUAACUUCCUGAGCCGUAGUUCCCUGCCUGGAACUACGGCUCAGGAAAUCCUAAUACGCUAAGGCACUAACUGCAACAUUAAGAACAAACUAACUCCAUGGUGUCGGCUCAUCCAUCCAGACGCGCAUUUUCCACCAGUUGCAAGCGAGCGCCGCGCCGCGCACCGCACUGCAACUGCCGGAAGAUCAGCUAUUUAUUGUAAUUAACAUUCUGUACUAAUAAAGUGUUUUAUUUGUUAUAUUA